AUGAUUACUGUCACCUCCAAGCUCUCUCUCCUUCCUCCAUGCUUCUCUGUCGUUAACACUUCAUCUUCGCGUUCCAAAGAUAUGAAUACAGAGCCAAAAAAGAAAGUUAAACUAAGAGAAGACUGGAGAGAAAAGUCCAAACCUAUCCCACCCGGAGGAACCUAUCCAGCUAAAGACCAUUGCAGUCGAUGCGGGUUAUGUGACACCUAUUACAUCGCCCAUGUGAAGGAGGCAUGUGCAUUUCUUGGAGAUGGAAUGUCAAGGAUUGAGAGCUUGGAGCCUGUUGUGCAUGGUAGAGGAAGGAAACCAGAUUCCUUAGAAGAUACAUAUUUUGGGGUGCAUCAAGAGCAGCUCUAUGCUCGUAAGUUGAAGCCUGUCGAAGGAGCUCAGUGGACUGGAAUUGUCACAACCAUAGCCAUUGAGAUGCUGAAAUCUAACAUGGUUGAGGCUGUUGUUUGUGUGCAGAGUGAUCCUGAAGACAGAUUAUCUCCAAGACCAGUAUUAGCCAGGACACCUGAAGAAGUUUUGGCUGCAAGAGGUGUCAAGCCAACUCUGUCUCCUAAUCUGAAUACUCUUGAAUUAAUCGAGGCUUCCGGAGUGAAACGUCUUCUGUUUUGCGGUGUGGGUUGCCAAGUGCAAGCAUUGAGAUCAGUGGAGCAGCAUCUGAAUCUGGAGAAGUUGUAUGUUCUAGGCACCAAUUGUGUGGACAAUGGAACACGAGAUGGACUAGACAAGUUUCUGAAAGCGGCUAGUAAGGAGCCAGAGACUGUUCUCCAUUAUGAAUUUAUGCAAGAUUACAAGGUCCAACUCAAACACUUGGAUGGACACAUUGAAGAGGUUCCCUAUUUCUCUCUACCAGCAAACGAUUUAGUAGAUGUCAUAGCUCCAUCGUGUUACAGCUGCUUUGAUUACACAAAUGCAUUAGCGGAUUUGGUUAUCGGUUACAUGGGUGUUCCGAAGUAUUCAGGUCUGAACAUGACUGACCAUCCACAGUAUAUUACAGUGAGAAAUGAACGCGGGAAAGAAAUGCUCAGCUUGGUAGAAAACCUUUUGGAGAUCACUCCAACAAUCAGCAGCGGUGAUCGGCGACCUUUUGUGACAGAAACUGUUAAGGCAGACGAUAAUGCUAAGUUUGGUCGAGGUCCUGCUCAGCCAGCACCAAUAUUUGUUGGAAACAUUAUUGCGUUCAUCCUAAGUUUGGUUGGUCCUAAGGGUCUAGAAUUUGCUCGCUACUCAUUGGACUACCAUACCAUCAGAAACUAUUUGCAUGUAAACCGCAAAUGGGGAAAGCAAAGAGCCAACAUCCACAUGCCAUCAUAUGCCAAAAAGAUAGUGGAAAUGUACAACAAAAACGGCCAUAUAGAUAAAAUGCUUUCCAGGAAAUGAACAUUUUAGGCCUUUCUCAUAGAACAGAGAAUAAGAAACAGUCUAAAUGGGCGGCUGAAUCGAAAUCACGCCAUGUGGUUUCCUUCCUCCAUAUCUUUAGGUUAAGAGAAGAAGGAACCAUGGUUAAGCUUAUCACUCACUCACUCACUCAUCACCCACUCACUCACUCAUCACCAUAUUUUACAAAUUGGAAACUUCAAAUUUUACUCUCUUCUAAUUUGUCCUUUUGUUUGUCAAUUCUCUGUUCUGCUGGUUCAAUGACUUUGCUGCAGAGACUCUCAGAAUCUCAAGUGAAACCCAUAAAUGUCUCUGAUCUUUUGCACCAUAGUUGAAUUUUUUCAACAGAGGCUUGUCCAUAUACAGAGUAUGUAAACGUUUUUUUCUAAUAAUAUAUUUAGUGAAA